CAGUCGCCGCGGUAAUGCGAAGGGGGCUAGCGUUGUUCGGAAUUACUGGGCGUAAAGCGCACGUAGGCGGAUAUUUAAGUCAGGGGUGAAAUCCCAGAGCUCAACUCUGGAACUGCCUUUGAUACUGGGUAUCUUGAGUAUGGAAGAGGUGAGUGGAAUUCCGAGUGUAGAGGUGAAAUUCGUAGAUAUUCGGAAGAACACCAGUGGCGAAGGCGGCCCGCUGGACAUGUAUUGACGCUGAGGUGCGAAAACGUGGGGAGCAAACAGGAUUAGAUACCCCAGUAGUCCCUGUCUCUUAUAC
rnacentral:rRNA from 1 species